rnacentral:tRNA from 1 species
CGGGAUGUAGCUCAGCUUGGUAGAGUACGAACUUUGGGAGUUUGUGGUCGCAGGUUCGAAUCCUGUCAUCCCGA